rnacentral:rRNA from 1 species
UUAAGCGACUAAGCGUACACGGUGGAUGCCCUGGCAGUCAGAGGCGAUGAAGGACGUGCUAAUCUGCGAUAAGCGUCGGUAAGGUGAUAUGAACCGUUAUAACCGGCGAUUUCCGAAUGGGGAAACCCAGUGUGUUUCGACACACUAUCAUUAACUGAAUCCAUAGGUUAAUGAGGCGAACCGGGGGAACUGAAACAUCUAAGUACCCCGAGGAAAAGAAAUCAACCGAGAUUCCCCCAGUAGCGGCGAGCGAACGGGGAGGAGCCCAGAGCCUGAAUCAGUGUGUGUGUUAGUGGAAGCGUCUGGAAAGGCGCGCGAUACAGGGUGACAGCCCCGUACACAAAAAUGCACAUGCUGUGAGCUCGAUGAGUAGGGCGGGACACGUGGUAUCCUGUCUGAAUAUGGGGGGACCAUCCUCCAAGGCUAAAUACUCCUGACUGACCGAUAGUGAACCAGUACCGUGAGGGAAAGGCGAAAAGAACCCCGGCGAGGGGAGUGAAAAAGAACCUGAAACCGUGUACGUACAAGCAGUGGGAGCCUCUUAAUGGGGUGACUGCGUACCUUUUGUAUAAUGGGUCAGCGACUUAUAUUCUGUAGCAAGGUUAACCGAAUAGGGGAGCCGAAGGGAAACCGAGUCUUAACUGGGCGUUAAGUUGCAGGGUAUAGACCCGAAACCCGGUGAUCUAGCCAUGGGCAGGUUGAAGGUUGGGUAACACUAACUGGAGGACCGAACCGACUAAUGUUGAAAAAUUAGCGGAUGACUUGUGGCUGGGGGUGAAAGGCCAAUCAAACCGGGAGAUAGCUGGUUCUCCCCGAAAGCUAUUUAGGUAGCGCCUCGUGAAUUCAUCUCCGGGGGUAGAGCACUGUUUCGGCAAGGGGGUCAUCCCGACUUACCAACCCGAUGCAAACUGCGAAUACCGGAGAAUGUUAUCACGGGAGACACACGGCGGGUGCUAACGUCCGUCGUGAAGAGGGAAACAACCCAGACCGCCAGCUAAGGUCCCAAAGUCAUGGUUAAGUGGGAAACGAUGUGGGAAGGCCCAGACAGCCAGGAUGUUGGCUUAGAAGCAGCCAUCAUUUAAAGAAAGCGUAAUAGCUCACUGGUCGAGUCGGCCUGCGCGGAAGAUGUAACGGGGCUAAACCAUGCACCGAAGCUGCGGCAGCGACACUAUGUGUUGUUGGGUAGGGGAGCGUUCUGUAAGCCUGUGAAGGUGGCCUGUGAGGGUUGCUGGAGGUAUCAGAAGUGCGAAUGCUGACAUAAGUAACGAUAAAGCGGGUGAAAAGCCCGCUCGCCGGAAGACCAAGGGUUCCUGUCCAACGUUAAUCGGGGCAGGGUGAGUCGACCCCUAAGGCGAGGCCGAAAGGCGUAGUCGAUGGGAAACAGGUUAAUAUUCCUGUACUUGGUGUUACUGCGAAGGGGGGACGGAGAAGGCUAUGUUGGCCGGGCGACGGUUGUCCCGGUUUAAGCGUGUAGGCUGGUUUUCCAGGCAAAUCCGGAAAACCAAGGCUGAGGCGUGAUGACGAGGCACUACGGUGCUGAAGUGACAAAUGCCCUGCUUCCAGGAAAAGCCUCUAAGCAUCAGGUAACAUCAAAUCGUACCCCAAACCGACACAGGUGGUCAGGUAGAGAAUACCAAGGCGCUUGAGAGAACUCGGGUGAAGGAACUAGGCAAAAUGGUGCCGUAACUUCGGGAGAAGGCACGCUGAUAUGUAGGUGAAGCGACUUGCUCGUGGAGCUGAAAUCAGUCGAAGAUACCAGCUGGCUGCAACUGUUUAUUAAAAACACAGCACUGUGCAAACACGAAAGUGGACGUAUACGGUGUGACGCCUGCCCGGUGCCGGAAGGUUAAUUGAUGGGGUUAGCGGUAACGCGAAGCUCUUGAUCGAAGCCCCGGUAAACGGCGGCCGUAACUAUAACGGUCCUAAGGUAGCGAAAUUCCUUGUCGGGUAAGUUCCGACCUGCACGAAUGGCGUAAUGAUGGCCAGGCUGUCUCCACCCGAGACUCAGUGAAAUUGAACUCGCUGUGAAGAUGCAGUGUACCCGCGGCAAGACGGAAAGACCCCGUGAACCUUUACUAUAGCUUGACACUGAACAUUGAGCCUUGAUGUGUAGGAUAGGUGGGAGGCUUUGAAGUGUGGACGCCAGUCUGCAUGGAGCCGACCUUGAAAUACCACCCUUUAAUGUUUGAUGUUCUAACGUUGGCCCCUAAUCGGGGUUGCGGACAGUGUCUGGUGGGUAGUUUGACUGGGGCGGUCUCCUCCUAAAGAGUAACGGAGGAGCACGAAGGUUGGCUAAUCCUGGUCGGACAUCAGGAGGUUAGUGCAAUGGCAUAAGCCAGCUUGACUGCGAGCGUGACGGCGCGAGCAGGUGCGAAAGCAGGUCAUAGUGAUCCGGUGGUUCUGAAUGGAAGGGCCAUCGCUCAACGGAUAAAAGGUACUCCGGGGAUAACAGGCUGAUACCGCCCAAGAGUUCAUAUCGACGGCGGUGUUUGGCACCUCGAUGUCGGCUCAUCACAUCCAGGGGCUGAAGUAGGUCCCAAGGGUAUGGCUGUUCGCCAUUUAAAGUGGUACGCGAGCUGGGUUUAGAACGUCGUGAGACAGUUCGGUCCCUAUCUGCCGUGGGCGCUGGAGAACUGAGGGGGGCUGCUCCUAGUACGAGAGGACCGGAGUGGACGCAUCACUGGUGUUCGGGUUGUCAUGCCAAUGGCACUGCCCGGUAGCUAAAUGCGGAAGAGAUAAGUGCUGAAAGCAUCUAAGCACGAAACUUGCCCCGAGAUGAGUUCUCCCUGAGACUUAGAGUCUCCUGAAGGAACGUUGAAGACGACGACGUUGAUAGGCCGGGUGUGUAAGCGCAGCGAUGCGUUGAGCUAACCGGUACUAAUGAACCGUGAGGCUUAACCUU